GGAAUAUUGGACAAUGGGGGGAACCCUGAUCCAGCCAUGCCGCGUGUGUGAAGAAGGCCUUUUGGUUGUAAAGCACUUUAAGCGAGGAGGAGGCUACUCUAGUUAAUACCUAGAGAUAGUGGACGUUACUCGCAGAAUAAGCACCGGCUAACUCUGUGCCAGCAGCCGCGGUAAUACAGAGGGUGCGAGCGUUAAUCGGAUUUACUGGGCGUAAAGCGUGCGUAGGUGGCCAAUUAAGUCAAAUGUGAAAUCCCCGAGCUUAACUUGGGAAUUGCAUUCGAUACUGGUUGGCUAGAGUAUGGGAGAGGAUGGUAGAAUUCCAGGUGUAGCGGUGAAAUGCGUAGAGAUCUGGAGGAAUACCGAUGGCGAAGGCAGCCAUCUGGCCUAAUACUGACACUGAGGUACGAAAGCAUGGGGAGCAAACAGGAUUAGAUACCCCAG
rnacentral:rRNA from 1 species